CUAAAAAUAAGUUAAAAAAACUAUUGGAUUCAUAUUCCAAACUUGAAAAGAUCUUUUUAGA
rnacentral:tRNA from 1 species